UCAUAAUAAUUAAGCAGCUUCACAAAACAAUGAAACGUUGUGUGGUGAAAAAUGCCACAUCUCUACAGAUUGAAUUUAAUCCAGGAAACUAGUGACAGCAGAAACUUAGUUAUAAAUACAAAGCAGGUUUUUAUUAAUUUACUUGGUGAAUACAGAAAAUUCUCAUUAUCUUUUUUUUUUCCUACAUUCAUUGCUUUCCCAAAGCCCAUCAAGGAUUUUUUUUACCUAACUGCAAGAUGCAAUUAGCAUAAUAAAUGAUGAGGACAAGAUCUGUGCUCCAAUUAAUUCAGGAGUAAAGGGCCGAUCAGAUGCAAAUUGCCCCCCAAAUCACACUUAGCCACUGGAGUACUAUGUUUGGCUUCAUUGGCAAAGCAAUAGCCUCUGGUCUCCUUGUUCCCCUGGCUAACAGGUUUGAAUCCUGCCCCAGGCAAGACUCUUACAGUCUGGCUUCUCCUACUGAUUAAGAUAAAUUUCUCAUGUGUUUUAAAGAAGUAACUAUUAAGUUAAAUGGCCACAGAGAAAAACUAAUUGUCCUUCUUCAUACACUAUUCCUCGUAAGUUCAACCCCUGGCCACAUUUUUUCUCUUGAAUUCCUUAACUUUACUUGCAUAUCUACUUAUUCAUAAGCCUGGCUGUUUCCCAACAACUUAACCCACUUAAUCUGAAUUUGUUAUCUCUCUACAUGAAUUCAUCAUUUGUAUUUUCAUUCCAUGCUCACGCCACCUUUACAUAUGCUCCAAAAUCACAGACUUAGUUACUUCAUAAAGCUCUCUAGUCAUAUCAAAGGUCACCCAGGUCCAAACAAUAUACAGCUCUUGCCUUCCCUAAGUACUUCUCUAUUAUUAAAAUUUAAUGCAAAAAUCUGAUUCCUACUAUCUUUUUUUCUAUUUGAAUGCUUCCUGUUUCUUCCUUACACAUCAUCAAAAUCUAUUAAAUUAUUUUCCCUUUCAGAAUUUCCAAAGAAUUGUAAUCUGCCAAUUGAUGUAUCCAUGAACCCCAAGAACAAAUACUGUAUUUCCCGCCAUAUAAGACGCACCUAUAAUUUAGCAAGAUAUAUUUAGAAAAAAUAAAAAACUCCACAUUUUCCCUAAACUUAAUGUGUAUGCAGUAUUACAUGUGGCCACCUUACUUACAAUAAUUAUGACUAUGACACCGUAUGUUGCUUUGUGUCCUUCUCUGUGUUCAAAGUGUUCCACUGUUGGUUACUUUGAAAUGGUAAACAAAAGGGUUGGUUAGCUGAUUCAACCACUGCGCAGUGUGCAGGCAGUAACUUUCACUGAGCUACUGAGGGAGCUAAUCACACAGAAAUGCUACGUUCGAUGGGCAAUCUUGACUUUCAGGGACCGUAUACCUACUUUCAAGUAGAAAUAGGUGUUGAUUAAUUUCUUUCAAUCACAUUAUGUUGUAACAUAGUUAUUUUUGUAAUGAGAAACAAAAAUGCUUUUACAGGAAACACUUUAGUCAUCCUUGGAUAUCCGCUCUUUUGAACAUACAUCACAGAAAACGUCAACUGACUGGGUCACUGCACAGCAGAAAUACUAGCUCCAGACUAAUCCGCCCAAGUCCGCCCCACAAUCACUGAACAGUCAUGUCAGGCAGCACCUUGCUCCAUGGAUAUUGUUCCUGAGUAAUAGAUGCUUUAACCCAGUAGCAGCGACGGGCCAAAUUUGUGGCUUCACCGUGUAGCAGCGAUGGCCCAAAAUUGUGCCAUGAUAUUUACACCCAAAAUAGAUGAUACAUAAUCUGAUCAGAAAUGCUUUGAUAUAUAUUAUAAAAUGGUUUGUGUGAGGGGUGUUUUUUUCUCAUUUUUCUCGCUUGGAGGGACCACUAAGAAACAUGAUCCCCGCUACUACCGGGUUAACCAUCACCGUCAAGGUACCUGGCACACUGGUGACUGGUGCGCCGUGGUGGUGUUGUCUUGUGUGUUGUGUUUCGUGUUCACGCUGCGCCACGUGACCUAUACGGUUUUAUCGCUGCAUGUUUCCUCCUCCUCUCUUCUGCUUAUUCAGACUUUUCUUUUCUAUUGCAUCACACUAUUCAUUAUUUAAAUCAAUCAAAAUUUGUACCUUAGGCAUAUACCAAGCUGGGGUAACUUUUUGGGCAUUUUCUGAGUGAAAAGUGCGAGUUACAUGCUGCAAAAUAUGGCAUAUUUCAUUCUGGGGACAUCUGGGAACUCUUGUGUCAAAUGGAGGUGUUUUGGGUGUUGGUUCUGUACCAGUAACAAUAACCCCUAGGCCUACCAAAACCUAACCAUCAGCGUAUAAGAUGCAGGGUGAUUUUUCAAAUCUUAUUUUUUUUUAAAAAGUGUGUCUUAUAUGGCGGAAAUACAGUAUGUGGUGCACAAAACAGAAACUACAAGAUAUGGUGAUAUCAUGCGCUCAUUACAAAACAAUGAACAGGCGCUGUACAGAGAUGAUUUUGGCCUCCUUAUGCAAUCAAUAGAACCCAGCCUAAGGAUCAGAAAAUUAUUGCCAAUGUUAAACUGAUAUCAUAUAAAGAAAUGGACAGUCAAACCUAAAAGGAGAUUUCAAAGAGAUUAAAACAAAUGAGAGCAUGGCUAGCAAUGCAGACGAGGCAGUCACAGUCUCAACCUUUGUCCCUUGUUCUCUCUCCACCCUCUCUCUCAAAAUGAUCCUGGAUUUCUGACUAGCAUAUCCUUUGGAAAAUAAAAACUCAAUGCCUGUGAGCCUGUCAAUUAACUGGUGCCAGACUGGAAUCAGCUAACAAGGCUUUGAUCAAGUUGUAGAAAAGGCAGAGGUAACGGUGGCAGUGGUAGGAGCUGAGCAGGUAGAGGAGGGAUGUGACGAAUAUUAGCCUUCCCUCCUCAGCCUCUGAUACCACAAUAAUGCCUUCAUGUACAAAAGGCAACCUCAACACUCAUUUUAAAUUUUGUUGCAUGCAUUAACAUUUGAGUUACUAAUUAUGAAUUCUCCUGCAAUAAAUUAUGCUAUGUUUUAAGGGAUGAAAAAAGUGAUGCUGGCUAAGUCCUUUGGCACCAAGUAGACUUUUUUCUAUUAGAUACCCCUUUGGUUUGACAAUUCUGCAUUGGCAAGUUUUUUUUGCUGAUGAUCUUACUAGCUGCCUAACUGGAGGGCUUAUUGUCUUUUAGUUUCCCAUCUGAGGCUAUAUUUCAUCAUCAUCUAAAAAAAAAAAAAAAAAAAAAAAAAAAGUCACAAUCUCCUCUAUUGACUCUAGGUUCUAUUUUACUAAUGUGCACCACACAGUGAGGGACGGACAAGCUAAUCUUCAAAGUGGGCGGAGUUUUUGCUAAUCUUUCCUCACUGUUUUCUAACAGUUACCUUGCUGCAGCACCAGUAACCCUAAAUUAACCUCAUUCAUUAUGGUAUGGCUGUAGUGAAAAGUACAAUAAAAUCCCAAAAUUAAAUUUUUAGCUUUAAAAUCUCAAGCAAAUUUAUCCAAACACUAUUUUUCAAGUAUCUAAAGAGCUUAACAUUUGCUGGCAUCAAAGACUAAUAUAUCUGAAAGAAAAAAAAGUUAUACCCACAGUUGCAAGUCUAAGCAGGCCACAUACAGAAAUGGCAGGUAAUAUAAUACAAAACAUGGCACAUCAGCAGAUAAACUCCUACUACUCCCUUCUCUCUCUAGCAUGUGUUAAUAAAAAUAUAUCUUUCACUUAACUACUAUUGAUAGGCUUACACAUUUUCAAAGAAUAAUUACUUAACCCUUUCAGAUAACAUGAGCUUUAAAACAUGUGUAGCAAAAUGUACAAGACAUGAGAAGAUAUACAAAUACAUAAUGAAUAUGAGGCAUUACAUGAUUGAAAACAGUAGCUGAAGUGUUGAGUGGGUGAAGAUAAGGAGGUUGGGUUGCUUGGCUGAAGUGAAGAGGACAGUAUAAGGAGCCUGAUGAUGCCACUGGCACAGUAUUCUCAUAACUUUUCUGAUUCUAAGGAAUGUUGCUUCAUAAGCGUAUUCGUAGUAUGCAAAUCACCCGAUGUGCCAGACAGGACUUACGACAAUGUCCUGGAUGAAUUUACUCAUAGAUCACACAUAACACCCCAUGACAAAGGUUUGGUGAACAACUCAAGCAGUGAACUGAAAUGGUAAACUUUGGAAAGGCAGCAGCAUAUUUUUCCAAGCAUUAAAUAAGAAUGAAGGCUAAAGUAAAGAGAUGGUUUAAAUGAAAAGCCAUCAAAAUCUGUUGUACUAAUAUUGAUUAUGACAAAAAUAUGACAAUAAAUAACUUUUAUAAGAAUAUAAAGUUUUAGAAAAAAAAAAAAAAUACUGCACUGUCUACUGUGACAGCACGCAUGGAUGAUUCCAUAAUAAUUCAUGAUAGCUUUUCACCUUGUAUCAAGGUUUUCUCUACAAUACAGAA